CGCUUGUGAAAGUUGAAGGCAGGAUUCGUGUUCGUCGUUUGCUUGGAGAACAGAUGAUGAAAGACUGUCUUUCCAACAGGGAACACAUGGGAGGUAGUGCAGUAGAUAUUUGGGCAGAUAUUCAUCAUGGUGGAAAAAACUGAUCUUCCUAUCCUCCAGGGAAACGUCAAUGAUGCCUCCUACAGGCAUCAUAUGGAGAAUAUAUAUGUGCCAUACACUAGGGCAAGGUUUGGCAAUAACAUAAGUAGCAUGUUAUCCCCCAUAAGUGAUGUUAGUAUCGCCUGACAAACGACAUAGAAACUAGAGCAGGAGAGUCUUUGUUUUCGCUAUCUCGUAUAAGGAAGAUAAAGUAGUGAAAAGAGGUGGGCUCGUCAAUAUAUCCAGUGUCUGUGCCCUCAAAUCUUAAUCGUACGUUCGUAAAUCGGAAGAGGCACAUGAGCACAUUAGUGGUGUCUUGUAAACGAAAACUUGUUAAUUGCAUCUCAGUCUUUAGUUUGCUCUAGUAAACUGUGUCUAAUUAUCGAAUUUUGCUUAUACACGAUCAGUAAGAGAAGCAGAAGCAAAAGAGUUCACAAUUCAACAUAAUUUUCUUCCUUCAAACUUCCUUAGAAUUUUCUUGGUCAAGGGUGAUAAGAAAUUAUUAAUUUCAAACUUUAUAGUAUUUUGAACAACCUGUACUUCCUCAGACAGACACAGGGCCAUCCGAGUAUAAGAACGAAACUAUACUGAACUGGUAUUUUACAUUGUUAUUCUUCGGACUUCUUUUAUCAGAUACGAAGAAGUCAUAUCGCUUUCUUGGCCUCAUGGGAUGUGUAUAUAUGUAUUGAACUUCUUUUUUCUGAAGUAAAAGUAAUCAUAUACGUAUUUGGU